rnacentral:lncRNA from 10 species
UGAGUUGAGAAUUUUUGAGUAAUAGGUAUAUGGGGACUAAGUAUUCUAUUCUUCAUACUUUUACAUGCCGUAAAUCCCCACUUAUCUGCAGGGAAUGUGUUCCAAGACCCCCAGUGGAUGCCUGAAACUGAGAAUAGUACUGGACCCUGUAUAUACUGUGUUUUUUCUUUCCUUAUUGAGAACUUUUAUGUUUUCACUUAAAGGAAGGACUUUACAGCUUCUCUUUCGCAUAUCCAAAUUGCCAGCAUCACCGCUCUUGCACUCCAAGCCAUUAUUAAGUAAAGUAAAGAACACAAACACUGUGAUACUGCUACACUUGAUCUGAUAACCAAGAAGUCUACUAAGUGACUAACAGAGCAACUGGGAACCUAAUUCUGACCAAAAAGGAGGAAUUGUUUGGCUAAUUGGAAGUGACAGAAACCUUGGGAGAAAGCAACCGCAUACCAAGGAUAAUUAUAAGAAGGUAACAUGGGCCCUAAAGGAUAGUGUCAAGAAACCUGAAACCCCCAAAUGAGGUGAGACUUGCAAAAAAUGCUAAGGAAGGACAAAAAACAGGCCUUUUAAAAUUCUGUUCAGAACCAGAAGAUGAUCAAGAAAGGGAAAUGCCCACUAGCAGCUUCUACUGUAAGGUUAGAGCUGACAGAGAAAG